rnacentral:rRNA from 1 species
AUUGAACGCUGGCGGCAUGCUUUACACAUGCAAGUCGAACGGUAACAGGCCGCAAGGUGCUGACGAGUGGCGAACGGGUGAGUAAUGCAUCGGAACGUGCCCAGUCGUGGGGGAUAACGCAGCGAAAGCUGUGCUAAUACCGCAUACGAUCUAUGGAUGAAAGCGGGGGACCGUAAGGCCUCGCGCGAUUGGAGCGGCCGAUGUCAGUUUAGGUAGUUGGUGGGGUAAAGGCCCACCAAGCCAACGAUCUGUAGCUGGUCUGAGAGGACGACCAGCCACACUGGGACUGGGACACGGCCCAGACUCCUACGGGAGGCAGCAGUGGGGAAUUUUGGACAAUGGGCGCAAGCCUGAUCCAGCAAUGCCGCGUGCAGGAAGAAGGCCUUCGGGUUGUAAACUGCUUUUGUACGGAACGAAACGGUCUGGGUUAAUACCUCGGGCUAAUGACGGUACCGUAAGAAUAAGCACCGGCUAACUACGUGCCAGCCGCCGCAGUAACAC